GUUCCCGAUUCCUUUUUAUUUCCCCAAUUCCUCUUCCUCCGCCGAAUCCUCUCCUCUCUACCUCGCGAUUCCCUCUUCUCCCAUGUCUCUGGCCGACGUUGCCAUCCCAACACCAUCGCUGAUCUUCCGUUCCCUCCCGAGCCACACACCGCCGACCGUCUCCUUUUCUUCUCUCGCCGUCGUCGCUCGCUGGAUCCAUCAUCGCUACCACCCGAUCCUUGUCGAGCAGGUGCUGGUACCGCCGGGAAAUCCCAAAGUUCCUCCCCGAUAGCAGGGCCGACAACCCUCCGCCUUCUCCUUCCCCGUCGCCGCCGCUGGUCGCUAUCUGCCUACUCCUGGCCGCAGACACCUAGUACUCGUCGAGAGCAGAGCCGAGCACCGGAUCCACCCUUUCGAUUGAACCCUAGUUGUCAAUCCUCCGCCGUUGAUCACUGGCUCUGGCUGUGGCUUAGCUGACGGUCGUUACUCAUCCGGCCACAGGAAGGAUUGCAGAUCCCUACUUGCGGCAACCCCAUCCCGUACCAUAUCGCGGUCACCACAGUUGGCUGGCAUUCCUAGGAUGGCGAGGGCAGCUGGACAGAACGAAGCUUCGUGCCCAAGCAUAGAGCUUCGACCAGCACUGUUCGUCGGCGAACCACAUUUCCGGCCAUCCCAUUCUGAAAGUGAUCCUCUCCAGCCAUUAGUUGACGAAGGAGCAAUCCAAGUUGGGUAGCAGAUAAAGGAUUUAUAGAGUCGCCUGAAGAUCCUGUCAGCCAAUCUCAUGUCACAUCGAGCUUCUCCUUUCGUUAGUGUUUCCUUUCGUAUUGUUGGUUUCAUACUUGUUCUUGUAUUUGUGUAUUCUUUUAUAUGGAGUUGUGUUUUGUGGUAUCUUGUAUUUGGUUGGGUGAUGAUGUGUCAAGCCGAGCCGGCUCGCAGUGAGUUGUUUUGUUUGUUUCAUGUUCGUUAUUUUAUGAUUUUCAUUGUGCUAUGUUUCAGUCAA